GAAAAAUCUAGAAUCAAACUGUGUUACAGUGCGGUUUCACUCAUCUUGAAUCUGGAGAAGUUAUUUGACACAAAUCAGCCUUUUCAAAGUACGAAGAUACACUCUCAGAAAAUUUAGAGUAAAGAAAAAAUGUAAAUGGAAACCACUGAGUUGUGAAUGUUGGAAAACUGCAGGGAGGAAACAUGUAAUUUCCUCUUCCCAUGUUAGUUUCGUGAGUGAGGCCCCUGUAAGAAAAGACAAGUUAACAAAAGCAUACAGAUUUAUUGAGUAUGUUUUACAUGCAUGAGAGCCUAUGUAAGGAAAUAAAGUCCUGAAGAAACGGUGAAAUCUGAGUAUUUCUUUUGCUAAAUUUGAUGAAGAAUCUCAGAGACUCUUGGAAAAAUGUAACAGGACAAAAAUGGGUAUUUCUCCCUAUACCCAUUUAUCCAGGUAUGGAGAGUUCACCUCUCAAAUGAGGGUCUUAUAAACUGUUUCAGGAGAAGCUCAGAAAAUCCUCCCUAGUUUUUAUGACCAGCUGCAGGGAAGGUGAAAAAGAAAAGAUCUGAAUCACCUUCCUGCUUCUGUGAUUUCCUCAAAUUCCUCCACCUAUUCAGUAUGUCAAGGUGCCAUAUUUUGGUAUAGUGUGUCCUGAACCUCAUCAAGAUACUUUCUUCUUCUACAUGUAUUGCCAGGAGGGCAUUGCUCAAGAUUCUCUCUCCUGUUUGUGGUCAUAGGUUUAGCCCAUGAUCCAGAACUCAUUUUGUUUCAUUAUUAUGUCUGUUUAUGAAGAAUCGAAGUCCAGACUGUGAAGCACACUGCACAAAGCCUUUAGUACUCUAUUCUUAUUUGACUUUU
rnacentral:lncRNA from 1 species